CCUACGGGCGGCAGCAGUGGGGAAUAUUGGGCAAUGGGCGCAAGCCUGACCCAGCAACGCCGCGUGAAGGAAGAAGGCUCUCGGGUUGUAAACUUCUUUUAUCAGGGACGAAGCAAGUGACGGUACCUGAUGAAUAAGCCACGGCUAAAUACGUGCCAGCAGCCGCGGUAAUACGUAGGUGGCAAGCGUUAUCCGGAUUUACUGGGUGUAAAGGGCGUGUAGGCGGGAAAGCAAGUCAGAUGUGAAAACCAGGGGCUCAACCUGGUGCUUGCAUUUGAAACUGUUUGUCUUGAGUACUGGAGAGGCAGACGGAAUUCGUGGUGUAGCGGUGAAAUGCGUAGAUAUUAGGAGGAACACCAGGGGCGAAGGCGGUCUGCUGGACAGCAACGGACGCUGAGGCGCGAAAGCGUGGGGAGCAAACAGGAUUAGAUACCCGUGUAGUC
rnacentral:rRNA from 1 species